rnacentral:rRNA from 1 species
CCAGACUCCUACGGGAGGCAGCAGUGGGGGAUAUUGGACAAUGGGGGAAACCCUGAUCCAGCGACGCCGCGUGAGUGAAGAAGUAUUUCGGUAUGUAAAGCUCUGUCAGCAGGGAAGAAAGAAAUGACGGUACCUGACCAAGAAGCCCCGGCUAACUACGUGCCAGCAGCCGCGGUAAUACGUAGGGGGCAAGCGUUAUCCGGAUUCACUGGGUGUAAAGGGAGCGUAGACGGCGACGCAAGUCUGGAGUGAAAGCCCGGGGCCCAACCCCGGGACUGCUCUGGAAACUGCGUCGCUGGAGUACGGGAGGGGCAGGCGGAAUUCCUGGUGUAGCGGUGAAAUGCGUAGAUAUUAGGAGGAACACCAGUGGCGAAGGCGGCCUACUGGACGGUGACUGACGCUGAGGCUCGAAAGCGUGGGGAGCAAACAGGAUUAGAUACCCGCGUAGU